GAUAAACGCUGGCGGCGCACAUAAGACAUGCAAGUCGAACGGAGAGAAGUUGUUUGUUUACAAGCAAUGGAUCUUAGUGGCGGACUGGUGAGUAAAACGUAAGUAACUUUCCUAGAAGAGAGGAAUAACAGUGAGAAAUCAUUGCUAAAACCACAUGAUCUAUAUUUAUUGCAUGAUAGAUAUAGCAAAAGAGAAAUCUGCUUUUAGAUGGACUUACGGCUGAUUAGCUAGUUGGUAAGGUAGAGGCUUACCAAGGCAACGAUCAGUAGCCGAACUGAGAGGUUGAACGGCCACAUUGGGACUGAGAUACGGCCCAGACUCCUACGGGAGGCAGCAGUCGGGAAUAUUGCGCAAUGGAGGAAACUCUGACGCAGUGACGCCGCGUAUAGGAAGAAGGUUUUAGGAUUGUAAACUAUUUUAGACAGGGAAGAAAAAAAUGACGGUACCUGUAGAAUAAGCCCCGGCAAACUAUGUGCCAGCAGCCGCGGUAAAAC
rnacentral:rRNA from 1 species